rnacentral:rRNA from 1 species
UGGGGAAUUUUGGACAAUGGGCGAAAGCCUGAUCCAGCAAUGCCGCGUGUGUGAAGAAGGCCUUCGGGUUGUAAAGCACUUUUGUCCGGAAAGAAAUGGCUCUGGUUAAUACCUGGGGUCGAUGACGGUACCGGAAGAAUAAGGACCGGCUAACUACGUGCCAGCAGCCGCGGUAAUACGUAGGGUCCAAGCGUUAAUCGGAAUUACUGGGCGUAAAGCGUGCGCAGGCGGUUGUGCAAGACCGAUGUGAAAUCCCCGAGCUUAACUUGGGAAUUGCAUUGGUGACUGCACGGCUAGAGUGUGUCAGAGGGGGGUAGAAUUCCACGUGUAGCAGUGAAAUGCGUAGAGAUGUGGAGGAAUACCGAUGGCGAAGGCAGCCCCCUGGGAUAACACUGACGCUCAUGCACGAAAGCGUGGGGAGCAAACAGGAUUAGAUACCCUGGUAGUCCACGCCCUAAACGAUGUCAACUAGUUGUUGGGGAUUCAUUUCCUUAGUAACGUAGCUAACGCGUGAAGUUGACCGCCUGGGGAGUACGGUCGCAAGAUUAAAAGCUCAAAGGAAUUGACGGGGUCAUAGCUGUUUUCCU